rnacentral:lncRNA from 1 species
CCCUAACUGCCAUAACUGCCUUACUGGCAGUAAAAGGAAAGUUUGUUAUUUAAGCCAAACUUUCCUUUUACCCCUUUUGUACACAUUAAUAACCCUUGGCUUGGUAUGAGCCUUAUCAUUACCCUCCCCUAAUAGUUUUAACUUGUCCUCAAGUUGAAAGCUAGGGAACUGGUCUUGUAUGGUUGUGGCUGCUUCCCAAGUAGCUUCAUGCUCUGGUAAUGCUUGCCACUGCACCAGAACUUCUAAGUUGCCUUGGUUGUCCAUCCUUUUUUCAAGGAUGAUCU